rnacentral:tRNA from 1 species
CCCUGGGUGGUGAAAACAAUUAACACGCUAGGCUGCUAACCAAAAGACUGGAGGUUCAAGCCCUCCCAGAGGCA